GGCCAGCACGUGUUUCCUUGCUAAUAAUCUCUUCAUGAAAAAUGAUUUCUUCGAAAGAAGCAUCACUCAGAACAAGCUUCUCCAGAUCGGGUAAACUUUGAAAGAAAUAAGAUGGCAAAAGUGUAGAGUCAUUGGAAAAACAGGUUAGCUCAAUGCCUUUCAGUCCAGACAAGAAAUCAGCUUGAGACCACAUAUCCUUCAUGGUGUUAUAUUCCACUCUCAACUCUUCUAAACUUGGGAUCGCAACUUUCCCGCCAGAAGAGGCUGCAAUGGAAAAAACAAAGUCCCCAUUGUGAAUUCCUGCUUCAUUUCCCUCAGCAAUCAUGCUUAGAUCUUGGUCCUCACAAAAUUUUGAAGCUAAUAAUUCCAUGUUUGGACAGCCAACCAUAUCAAUUCUUUUCAGGGAUGGGCAUUUCAGAAAAUCCCUUGCAGAAUAAAAACUUGACAAGUUAGGCAAACACUCGAGACUUAUGGACUUCAUUGAUGGAAACAUGAUCUUAUCUUUCACUACUUCCUCGUCUGCUUCUUUUGUGAUUAUAUGUUCCACCAANNNUCCACCAAAAUACAUCUUUUUAAUUCCAUAUGUUGGAGAUUUACAAGACCCGAAGCCAUGGACAGAGUAAAUAUAUUAGUCAAGCUGCUACAAUUCUGAACUUGCAACAACUUUAGGUUUUUAAAGCUCAAAAUUCCUUGAGGAUCAUCGUUCCACACAUGCCUCAAUCUAGGCAAAUCAAUUAACCUCAAUUCAUUUAAAUAAUUCAAUAACCCAACAUCACCUUCGUCAGCAUUUAGCCCUUCCAAAUCAAACAGCUCUUCUACAGAAUCGCAUCUUUCUACAACCAGCUCAUUUUUCAUUUUUGACAAGAACAAGUACUUUAGUAGAUUUGAGGAUACGGCAUUUGAGAAAAAAGCACAAUCGUCCACCACUAACUUUCCCAAGUGCUUCAAGUUCUUGAAUGGAAAUUGGCCAUGCCAUCUUUCUUUCAGCAUAGGAAAGUUGGAGAGCUGCACUUCAUCUAUCCAUUCAAAUGCAACACAUUUCAUGUAAAGCUGUUCAAUGGUGGCAUUGAGAUUGCCUUCGCAAUGCCAUUUUCGAUUGUUGUACCAGCCUGCCAAUACACCGUGUAACUUUGGCGUGCUUGACACUCCAGCAGUGAAAAUCCUCAACUUGGGGCAUUUAUGAACGGUUAAUUGUUCUAAUGAUGGGAAUUUGAAAGUGCAACUGCCCAAGCAGAAGCUUGUGAGGCUCUGUAAAUCCUC
rnacentral:misc_RNA from 1 species